rnacentral:misc_RNA from 1 species
CAAUAAAAUAUAGCAGAGAUGAUUGCAUUUUUAUUUCUUUUUCACAAUUUGUAUAUUGAAACUAGCCGCGUUGCAGAAUGGAGUUGUUGAAGCAAACUAUUUAUUUCUUACUUUUUAUCUUCUUUUGUUUCCAUUUUGUUCAAGCCUGUACCGUAUGUGCAGCGCACGGGUCGCGCCGUGAGGACCCGAGAGAGAAAGUCGUCAAAAUGAUUUUGCCUAAGAGGAGACAUUACUAUCGAAUGAAAAAUGCAAGCUCACCUUACUAAACCAUCCGUAGCUCCCAGUACAAGUUGCAGUGCACAGAUCUCCUAUGUUUUUAAUUACUAAGUUUAUAUCUUACAUCUGGCAGGCGCGCCGAAUGUCUAAUCAAAAAAAUAGCAUACAGUUGGGGAAGCCGGAGAAGAUACCAAUGCCAAUGCCAACCCAAUCAACGAUAGACCCGAAAAUUCUAGUAAUCGUGAGUCAGUUAAAGAAA